UGGGGAAUAUUGCACAAUGGGCGCAAGCCUGAUGCAGCCAUGCCGCGUGUAUGAAGAAGGCCUUCGGGUUGUAAAGUACUUUCAGCGGGGAGGAAGGGAGUAAAGUUAAUACCUUUGCUCAUUGAAGUUACCCGCAGAAGAAGCACCGGCUAACUCCGUGCUAGCAGCCGCGGUAAUACGGAGGGUGCAAGCGUUAAUCGGAAUUACUGGGCGUAAAGCGCACGCAGGCGGUUUGUUAAGUCAGAUGUGAAAUCCCCGGGCUCAACCUGGGAACUGCAUCUGAUACUGGCAAGCUUGAGUCUCGUAGAGGGGGGUAGAAUUCCAGGUGUAGCGGUGAAAUGCGUAGAGAUCUGGAGGAAUACCGGUGGCGAAGGCGGCCCCCUGGACGAAGACUGACGCUCAGGUGCGAAAGCGUGGGGAGCAAACAGG
rnacentral:rRNA from 1 species